UACGGGGGGGGCAAGCGUUGUUCGGAAUUACUGGGCGUAAAGGGCUCGUAGGCGGCCAACUAAGUCCGACGUGAAAUCCCAAGGCUUAACCUUGGAACUGCGUCGGAUACUGGAUGGCUUGAAUUCGGGAGAGGGAUGCAGAAUUCCAGGUGUAGCGGUGAAAUGCGUAGAGAUCAGGAAGAACACCGGUGGCGAAGGCGCUCUGCUAGGCCGCAACUGACACUGAGGGACGAAAGCUAGGGGGAGCGAAUGGG
rnacentral:rRNA from 1 species